AGCUGAGGGAGCCGGCUGCGGCCUUCGCCAGCCCAGAAAGGGGCUCCUACAGUGCAGUGGCGGGCUGAAGGGCUGCUCAAGCGCCGCCAAAGUGGGAGCCCAGGCAGAGGAGGCGCCCAGAGCGAGCGAGGGCUGUGAGGACUGCCAGCACGCUGUCACCUCUCACUCAUAUAGAUUGCCAAUCUAUUUGUGAACCAGGGUUUGCUGGAGUUUGGAUUUACUACUGAGUCAUAUUUGGAGCAUGCUGGAAUCUUACAACUGAGAUUACCGAGUCAGAAAC
rnacentral:lncRNA from 1 species